ACGCUGGCGGCAGGCCUAACACAUGCAAGUCGAGCGGUAGAGAGAAGCUUGCUUCUCUUGAGAGCGGCGGACGGGUGAGUAAUGCCUAGGAAUCUGCCUGGUAGUGGGGGAUAACGUUCGGAAACGGACGCUAAUACCGCAUACGUCCUACGGGAGAAAGCAGGGGACCUUCGGGCCUUGCGCUAUCAGAUGAGCCUAGGUCGGAUUAGCUAGUUGGUGGGGUAAUGGCUCACCAAGGCGACGAUCCGUAACUGGCCUGAGAGGAUGAUCAGUCACACUGGAACUGAGACACGGUCCAGACUCCUACGGGAGGCAGCAGUGGGGAAUAUUGGACAAUGGGCGAAAGCCUGAUCCAGCCAUGCCGCGUGUGUGAAGAAGGUCUUCGGAUUGUAAAGCACUUUAAGUUGGGAGGAAGGGCAGUUGCCUAAUACGUAACUGUUUUGACGUUACCGACAGAAUAAGCACCGGCUAACUCUGUGCCAGCAGCCGCGGUAAUACAGAGGGUGCAAGCGUUAAUCGGAAUUACUGGGCGUAAAGCGCGCGUAGGUGGUUUGUUAAGUUGGAUGUGAAAUCCCCGGGCUCAACCUGGGAACUGCAUUCAAAACUGACUGACUAGAGUGUGGUAGAGGGUGGUGGAAUUUCCUGUGUAGCGGUGAAAUGCGUAGAUAUAGGAAGGAACACCAGUGGCGAAGGCGACCACCUGGACUGAUACUGACACUGAGGUGCGAAAGCGUGGGGAGCAAAC
rnacentral:rRNA from 1 species